rnacentral:rRNA from 1 species
GAUGAACGCUAGCUACAGGCUUAACACAUGCAAGUCGCGGGGCAUCAUGGAGGUUGCUUGCAAUUUCUGAUGGCGACCGGCGCACGGGUGAGUAACGCGUAUCCAACCUUCCCAUUACUACGGCAUACCCCGUUGAAAGGCGGCCUAAUUCCGUAUGCAGUCCGAAGCAGUCAUCUAAUUUGGACGAAAGGUAUAUUCUAUCGGUAAUGGAUGGGGAUGCGUCCGAUUAGCCAGCCGGCGGGGUAACGGCCCACCGGGGCAUUGAUCGGUAGGGGUUCUGAGAGGAAGGUCCCCCACACUGGAACUGAGACACGGUCCAGACUCCUACGGGAGGCAGCAGUGAGGAAUAUUGGUCAAUGGGCGUAAGCCUGAACCAGCCAAGUAGCGUGCAGGAUGACGGCCCUAUGGGUUGUAAACUGCUUUUAUGCGGGGAUAAAGUUGGGGACGUGUCCCUUUUUGCAGGUACCGCAUAAUAAGACCGCUAUUCCC